AAGGAGUAGAAAAACCUAGAUUUCACUUUGGCACCCACAUUUCUCCCGAAUCUCUCCUACCGAACCCCUCUCACGCAUAGUCUUCUCCUCCCAAAUCCCUCUCAUGCGUACAUACUAGUCUCCUCAUCUCAUCUUAUGCCCUCUCCGUCCAACCCCUCUUCGACGAACCCUCUUCGCGAACCUCUCCUCUGAACUCCUCUCCGUCUAACGAUAUUCUGUUGAAUCCCUCUCCUGCUGAACCUAAAAUCCAGCUUUCGAAUUCAGGAGCCAUCAUCUCUUCAUGCUGCAAAUUUCUCCCAAUCGGGAGAAGUGCUACAACCGGCUUCAUCAAUCCACAGCCUCUUCGUCGGUAGAUCUCUUGUCGGAGAAGCUUCAUCCAGCCAUCCCACACAGCUUCUUAGUCAUGAGCACAACUCAACCCACUCCAUCCGGAUCACACUUGCAAUCCCUCUCUGAUCAGCUCUUUAUCUGUAGCUCUUCUUUCGAGAAUCGAACAACAACCGUCUCUCCUUUCAGGCCUUCCAAACUCCUCAGAUCAGUUCCAUCUGAAGCUUCCAACAAUAACCUUCAAGAUCCGAAUAACAUUGAUUUUGAAGAUAUCAAAAGUAUGAGACACUCGAAUGCAGACAAGUGAUAAUUAGGAGCAGCAACUACAUGCUAUGUAGCACUGCAUCCGAACCUUAGGGGUGUGACUGGGAAGUACUUCGACGAAGAAUUAUCAAGAAGACUUUGAGAUUUAAGCGAGAAGAUGUUAAUGCUAAUGAGUAAAGAACAUUCAAGUCAAGAUGAUAAGUAGCAUCUAUCAAGAUCCUUUAAGUUCAUGCAACAAAAUGUAGUCGAUAGGAGUAGUUUUGAGUAUCUCCUAAUUAAAAUUUCUUUAUAUUCGAGUAAUUAUGUUUGUUAUAGAAGUUGAAGGAUGAUAAUUUAUAUAUUUAUCUUGGUUGAUUAUUUAAUAAUAUGUUAUUCAUUGAA